rnacentral:rRNA from 1 species
UACGGAGGGGGCAAGCGUUAAUCGGAAUUACUGGGCGUAAAGCGCACGCAGGCGGCUUUUUAAGUCAGAUGUGAAAUCCCCGGGCUCAACCCGGGAACUGCAUCUGAAACUGGCAAGCUUGAGUCUCGUAGAGGGGAGUAGAAUUCCAGGUGUAGCGGUGAAAUUCGUAGAUAUUUGGAGGAAUACCGGUGGCGAAGGCGGCCCCCUGGACGAAGACUGACGCUCAGGUGCGAAAGCGUGGGGAGCAAACAGG